GGGCUCAAUAAGCAUGUGCUCAAUAAGAAAGUAUUGACUCGGGAACUAUAAGUGGAUAAGCUUGUUCCCUCCGCGCUAAAGAGAAAAUAGAGACAUACAAGAGAAUCAAAGAUCUAAUAAUAGAUAAUCAAAUAAAUAAUAUAGAAAUGGAAUUCUACGCGUGUAGUGUCGUAAGGAGAGUUCUCGUCGUUUAAGCUAUAUGCC
rnacentral:lncRNA from 1 species